rnacentral:rRNA from 1 species
UACGUAGGUGGCAAGCGUUGUCCGGAUUUACUGGGCGUAAAGGGCUUGUAGGCGGUCCGUUAAGUCUGGUGUGAAAUCUCCCGGCUCAACUGGGAUAGGUCACUGGAUACUGGCGGACUAGAGGGGGGUAGAGGAGAGCAGAAUUCCUGGUGUAGCGGUGAAAUGCGUAGAUAUCAGGAGGAAUACCAGUGGCGAAGGCGGCUCUCUGGGCCUACCCUGACGCUGAGGAGCGAAAGCGUGGGGAG